rnacentral:rRNA from 1 species
CGUCUAGGCGGUGUCUUAAGUUGGGCGUGAAAUCUCCCGGCUCAACUGGGAGGCUGCGUCCAAUACUGGGACACUUGAGGGCAGGAGAGGAAAGUGGAAUUCCCGGUGUAGUGGUGGAAUACUCAGAUAUCGGGAGGAACACCAGUGGCGAAGGCGGCUUUCUGGCCUGUACCUGACGCUGAAGCGCGAAAGCGUGGGUAGCGAACG